ACGCUCUACAACCCUUUGUGAACAUACCUAUAACUGUUGCUUCGGCGGGUAGGGUCUCCGUGACCCUCCCGGCCUCCCGCCCCCGGGCGGGUCGGCGCCCGCCGGAGGAUAACCAAACUCUGAUUUAACGACGUUUCUUCUGAGUGGUACAAGCAAAUAAUCAAAACUUUUAACAACGGAUCUCUUGGUUCUGGCAUCGAUGAAGAACGCAGCGAAAUGCGAUAAGUAAUGUGAAUUGCAGAAUUCAGUGAAUCAUCGAAUCUUUGAACGCACAUUGCGCCCGCCAGCAUUCUGGCGGGCAUGCCUGUUCGAGCGUCAUUUCAACCCUCAAGCUCUGCUUGGUGUUGGGGCCCUACAGCUGAUGUAGGCCCUCAAAGGUAGUGGCGGACCCUCCCGGAGCCUCCUUUGCGUAGUAACUUUACGUCUCGCACUGGGAUCCGGAGGGACUCUUGCCGUAAAACCCCCCAAUUUUCCAAAGGUUGACCUCGGAUCAGGUAGGAAUACCCGCUGAACUUAAGCAUAUCAAUAAGCGGAGGAAAAGAAACCAACAGGGAUUGCCUCAGUAACGGCGAGUGAAGCGGCAACAGCUCAAAUUUGAAAUCUGGCCCUAGGCCCGAGUUGUAAUUUGCAGAGGAUGCUUUUGGUGCGGUGCCUUCCAAGUUCCCUAGAACGGGACGCCAGAGAGGGUGAGAGCCCCGUACAGUUGGACACCAAGCCUUUGUAAAGCUCCUUCGACGAGUCGAGUAGUUUGGGAAUGCUGCUCAAAAUGGGAGGUAUAUUUCUUCUAAAGCUAAAUACCGGCCAGAGACCGAUAGCGCACAAGUAGAGUGAUCGAAAGAUGAAAAGCACUUUGAAAAGAGGGUUAAACAGCACGUGAAAUUGUUAAAAGGGAAGCGCUUGUGACCAGACUUGCGUCCGGUGAAUCACCCAGCUCUCGCGGCUGGGGCACUUCGCCGGCUCAGGCCAGCAUCAGCUCGCUGUCGGGGACAAAAGCUUCAGGAACGUAGCUCUCUUCGGGGAGUGUUAUAGCCUGUUGCAUAAUACCCUUCGGCGGGCUGAGGUACGCG
rnacentral:rRNA from 1 species